rnacentral:rRNA from 1 species
AGUGAACGCUGGCGGUAGGCCUAACACAUGCAAGUCGAACGGCAGCACAGUAAGAGCUUGCUCUUACGGGUGGCGAGUGGCGGACUGGUGAGGAAUACAUCGGAAUCUACUUUUUCGUGGGGGAUAACGUAGGGAAACUUACGCUAAUACCGCAUACGACCUACGGGUGAAAGCAGGGGAUCUUCGGACCUUGCGCGAUUGAAUGAGCCGAUGUCGGAUUAGCUAGUUGGCGGGGUAAAGGCCCACCAAGGCGACGAUCCGUAGCUGGUCUGAGAGGAUGAUCAGACACACUGGAACUGAGACACGGUACAGACUCCGACGGGAGGCAGCAGUGGGGAAUAUUAGACAAUGGGCGCAAGCCUGAUACAGCCAUACCGCGUGGGUGAAGAAGGACUUCGGGUUGUAAAGCCAUGUUGUUGGGAAAGAAAAGCAGCAGGUUAAUACCCCGCUGUUCUGACGGUACCCAAAGAAUAAGCACCGGCUAACUUCGUG